GGCCGCGGGAAUUCGAUUCAGGCCUAACACAUGCUAGUCGAGCGAUAGAGAGAGGCUUGCUUCCCUUGAGAGCGGCGGACGGGUGAGUAAUGCCUAGGAAUCUGCCUGGUAGUGGGGGAUAACGUUCGGAAACGGACGCUAAUACCGCAUACGUCCUACGGGAGAAAGCAGGGGACCUUCGGGCCUUGCGCUAUCAGAUGAGCCUAGGUCGGAUUAGCUAGUUGGUGAGGUAAUGGCUCACCAAGGCUACGAUCCGUAACUGGUCUGAGAGGAUGAUCAGUCACACUGGAACUGAGACACGGUCCAGACUCCUACGGGAGGCAGCAGUGGGGAAUAUUGGACAAUGGGCGAAAGCCUGAUCCAGCCAGGCCGCGUGUGUGAAGAAGGUCUUCGGA
rnacentral:rRNA from 1 species